GGGCGGUUGGCUCAGCUGGUCAGAGCGUCUGCCUUACACGCAGAAGGCCAGAGGUCCGAAUCCUCUACCGCCCA
rnacentral:tRNA from 1 species